GUCUAGUCACGCAGUCGACUCCUUCCAGCUCUGAAUCUGUCAUCUUUUGCUAUUGCAACCUCUAUAACUUGGAAUAUUUUCAAAUUAAUUUACAUUUGAUUUCCUUAAAACAUAAAAGAACAAACAAUUUUUCUUAGUCCGAAAUGAAAGCUACAAUGUUCGUGAUCUUUGGCCUCCUUUUGGUCAUGGCAACAUCGUCAGUUCAUACAACUCCGCUGAAAAUCGAGACGCAAGUUGCGAUGGAAGAACCUCGUUCGCGUGUAGCAAGGAGAAUCUUCCCGUGCAGAAUCACUCGUCCAGGUUUUCGCCAUUGUCCUUGGGGUUCAUUCCGUGGGGGCUGUAAAUGCUGAAAUAUCUUUUAAACAUUAGCCAAUUAUCUGGCAUUUUUUAACAUGGAACAAUUGAAUAGUCAUUGUACGAAAAUGAAUACACACAAUUAGUGAUCGUU